GGGGUGGCCCAUAUACUAAUAUUGGAAAGGAAAAGAAAAAACUCAGCAUGGCCUUUGGGCAGGUAUGACCUGCACAUUAAUGAAGUGUUCUAAAUUUUG
rnacentral:snRNA from 1 species